CGAGAGGGCCGGGUGAUCGCGGCCGCCGGAACCGGUCCCGCACGGGACGAGGCCGGGGGUCGAGGAAAGUCCGGACUCCACAGGGCACGGUGGUUGCUAACGGCAACCCGGGGCGACCCGCGGGACAGUGCCACAGAAAACAGACCGCCCGGGACCGGUUCGUCCGGCCACCGGGUAAGGGUGAAAAGGUGCGGUAAGAGCGCACCAGUGCGCCGGGUGACCGGUGCAGCUGGGUAAACCCCACCGGGAGCAAGGUCAAGUGCGGACACCGGGCGUCGCAGACGCCGGGUGCCCGCGUGUCCCGUCGGCUGCCCGUCGGUGAAGGGACAGGUGGACCGCUCGAGGCGCCCAGCGAUGGUGCGUCCAGAUGGAUGAUCACCCCCCGCCCGGCCCCGCGCCGGGUGGCGGACAGAAUCCGGCUCACAGGCCCUCUCGACAC
rnacentral:RNase_P_RNA from 2 species